rnacentral:rRNA from 1 species
GAUGAACGCUGGCGGCGUGCCUAAUACAUGCGAGUCGAGCGAACAGACGAGGAGCUUGCUCCUCUGACGUUAGCGGCGGACGGGUGAGUAACACGUGGAUAACCUACCUAUAAGACUGGGAUAACUUCGGGAAACCGGAGCUAAUACCGGAUAAUAUAUUGAACCGCAUGGUUCAAUAGUGAAAGACGGUUUUGCUGUCACUUAUAGAUGGAUCCGCGCCGCAUUAGCUAGUUGGUAAGGUAACGGCUUACCAAGGCGACGAUGCGUAGCCGACCUGAGAGGGUGAUCGGCCACACUGGAACUGAGACACGGUCCAGACUCCUACGGGAGGCAGCAGUAGGGAAUCUUCCGCAAUGGGCGAAAGCCUGACGGAGCAACGCCGCGUGAGUGAUGAAGGUCUUCGGAUCGUAAAACUCUGUUAUUAGGGAAGAACAAAUGUGUAAGUAACUAUGCACGUCUUGACGGUACCUAAUCAGAAAGCCACGGCUAACUACG